GGCUGUGUACAACAUCAUGCCGGCAGAUAACGAGCAGCACCCACCUCCUGCUGCCCAACUGGAAGCAGGCUCCUGAGCGGCCGGCCCCGGGGCCGACAGUGAUGGAGAGAGGCCACGAACGGCAGAGGCAUAGAGGACGAGCAGGUGCCUUGUCGCUCAGCCUGCUGACCCGUUGGACCUGUUCUCGCCUUGCCGUCGCUAGUUUGUUAACUAGUGCUUGUGUGCACCUCCUGGUUAAGGUUAUUCCGGGGAUUUCUGUGUCUCGCUC